GGCUGGUCCGAUGGUAAUGGGUUAUCAGAACUUAUUAACAUUAGUGUCACUAAAGUUGAUUGGUAUACAAUCUCCCACUGCUGAAUUUGGCUUAAA
rnacentral:Y_RNA from 1 species